rnacentral:rRNA from 1 species
GAUGAACGCUGGCGGCGUGCCUAAUACAUGCAAGUCAAGCGAACAGACGAGGAGCUUGCUCCUCUGACGUUAGCGGCUGACGGGUGAGUCACACGUGGAUAACCUACCUUUACGACUGGGAUAAUUUCGGGAAACCGGAGCUAAUACCGGAUAAUAUAUUGAACCGCAUGGUUCACUAGUGAAAGACGGUUUUGCUGUCACUUAUAGAUUGAUCCGCGCCGCAUUAGCUAGUUGGUCAGGUAACGGCUUACCAAGGCAACGAUGCGUAGCCGACCUGAGAGGGUGAUCGGCCACACGGGAACUGAGACACGGUCCAGACUCCUACGGGAGGCAGCAGUAGGGAAUCUUCCGCAAUGGGCGAAAGCCUGACGGAGCAACGCCGCGUGAGUGAUGAAGGUCUUCGGAUCGUAAAACUCUGUUAUUAGGGAAGAACAAAUGUGUAAGUAACUAUGCACGUCUUGACGGUACCUAAUCAGAAAGCCACGGCUAACUCCGUG